CUAAAAUGUUGUGUCCAGAAGUGUGGAAAUUCAAUCCUCCAGAAAUAAGUGAUAAAAUAAUAAAUGGUUCUUACAAAAAUGAAUCUGCAAAAAAGCAUGUCACGUAUACAAUUGGCAAACAUUACUUCAAUCAUCUGGUGUCUAUUGUUCUUCCCGAUACUGGAUCCCAGAGUUUACCUUCGGAGAUUAAUGAUUUGUUGACAAAAGAUUGUGAAUAUUAUAAGAUUGACAAUGUUAAAGUUGAAGAAUUUGUGAACCAUAACUUUACAAGGGGAUAUGUAAAUCAAGGUCAAUUACAUGUUCUAAGUAUAAACACUCAAAUUGACACAGACAAUUGUUUGGCUAUAACUCCAUGUGGAAAAUUAGUUUUGUCUUUAUUAAAAGAGACU